GCAGUGAUGGUUCACUAGUAGAGUUCCCGCUUUACAUGUGGGAGACCAGGGUUCGAUUCCUUGGCCAAUGCU
rnacentral:tRNA from 1 species